CCUACGGGAGGCUGCAGUGGGGAAUAUUGGACAAUGGGGGCAACCCUGAUCCAGCCAUGCCGCGUGUGUGAAGAAGGCCCUCGGGUUGUAAAGCACUUUCAGUGAGGAAGAACGCCUGGUGGUUAAUACCCAUCAGGAAAGACAUCACUCACAGAAGAAGCACCGGCUAACUCCGUGCCAGCAGCCGCGGUAAUACGGAGGGUGCGAGCGUUAAUCGGAAUUACUGGGCGUAAAGCGCGCGUAGGUGGCUUGAUAAGCCGGUUGUGAAAGCCCCGGGCUCAACCUGGGAACGGCAUCCGGAACUGUCAAGCUAGAGUGCAGGAGAGGAAGGUAGAAUUCCCGGUGUAGCGGUGAAAUGCGUAGAGAUCGGGAGGAAUACCAGUGGCGAAGGCGGCCUUCUGGACUGACACUGACACUGAGGUGCGAAAGCGUGGGUAGCAAACAGGAUUAGAUACCCUUGUAGUU
rnacentral:rRNA from 1 species